UAUUUAGACGGAACCUA
rnacentral:miRNA from 1 species